rnacentral:rRNA from 1 species
GACGAACGCUAGCUACAGGCUUAACACAUGCAAGUCGAGGGACCGGCGCACGGGUGAGUAACACGUAUCCAACCUGCCCUUUACUCGGGGAUAGCCUUUCGAAAGACAGAUUAAUACCCGAUAUAAAGGAUGGGGAUGCGUUCCAUUAGGUUGUUGGUGAGGUAACGGCUCACCAAGCCUUCGAUGGAUAGGGGUUCUGAGAGGAAGGGCCCCAACAUUGGAACUGAGGCACGGGCCAAACUCCGACGGGAGGCAGGAGUGAGGAAUAGUGGGAAAUGGGCGCUAGCCGGACCCAGCCAAGUAGCGUGAAGAAUGAAGGCGUAUGGGUCGUAAAAUUCUUUUAUAUAAGAAUAGGUAUUAUAUGAAUAAGGAUCGGCUAACUCCGUGCCAGCAGCCGCGGUAAUUC